rnacentral:rRNA from 1 species
AUACGGAGGGUGCAAGCGUUAUUCGGAAUCACUGGGCGUAAAGGACGCGUAGGCGGGUUGGCAAGUCAGAUGUGAAAUCCUACAGCUUAACUGUAGAACUGCAUUUGAAACUUCUAAUCUAGAGUAUGGGAGGGGGAGAUGGAAUUAGUGGUGUAGGGGUAAAAUCCGUAGAUAUCACUAGGAAUACCGAAAGCGAAGGCGAUCUCCUGGAACAUAACUGACGCUAAGGCGUGAAAGCGUGGGGAGCAAACGGGAUUAGAAACCCUAGUAGUCC